UAGGGAAUCUUCCGCAAUGGACGCAAGUCUGACGGAGCAACGCCGCGUGAGUGAAGAAGGAUUUCGGUUCGUAAAACUCUGUUGUUAGAGAAGAACAGCGCAUAGAGUAACUGUUAUGCGUGUGACGGUAUCUAACCAGAAAGCCACGGCUAACUACGUGCCAGCAGCCGCGGUAAUACGUAGGUGGCAAGCGUUGUCCGGAUUUAUUGGGCGUAAAGCGAGCGCAGGCGGUCGAUUAAGUCUGAUGUGAAAGCCCCCGGCUCAACCGGGGAGGGUCAUUGGAAACUGGUUGACUUGAGUGCAGAAGAGGAGAGUGGAAUUCCAUGUGUAACGGUGAAAUGCGUAGAUAUAUGGAGGAACACCAGUGGCGAAGGCGACUCUCUGGUCUGUAACUGACGCUGAGGCUCGAAAGCGUGGGUAGCAAACAGG
rnacentral:rRNA from 1 species